rnacentral:snRNA from 1 species
UUUAUUGCCAAUAAAUGCUAUACC